GACGAACGCUGGCGGCGUGCCUAAUACAUGCAAGUCGAGCGAAUGGAUUAAGAGCUUGCUCUUAUGAAAUUAGCGGCGGACGGGUGAGUAACACGUGGGUAACCUGCCCAUAAGACUGGGAUAACUCCGGGAAACCGGGGCUAAUACCGGAUAAUAUUUUGAACUGCAUGGUUCAAAAUUGAAAGGCGGCUUCGGCUGUCACUUAUGGAUGGACCCGCGUCGCAUUAGCUAGUUGGUGAGGUAACGGCUCACCAAGGCAACGAUGCGUAGCCGACCUGGGAGGGUGAUCGGCCACACUGGGACUGAGACACGGCCCAGACUCCUACGGGAGGCAGCAGUAGGGAAUCUUCCGCAAUGGACGAAAGUCUGACGGAGCAACGCCGCGUGAGUGAUGAAGGCUUUCGGGUCGUAAAACUCUGUUGUUAGGGAAGAACAAGUGCUAGUUGAAUAAGCUGGCACCUUGACGGUACCUAACCAGAAAGCCACGGCUAACUACGUGCCAGCAGCCGCAGUAA
rnacentral:rRNA from 1 species